GUUGUAAUUUUCCUGACUCUCUGCCACUGGGUAUUAUUUAGCCAAGGAGGUGAUCAGUCUUUGAGUAGGUUUCAAAUACAAAGAAGAAGCAGAAUGUAGUGUAUGUAAUCUCAAAUUUGCCCAUUGAUUUCACAGAUUCCUAGGUCCGUUUCUGAGUGCCGCACUUCACUUCAGGAGGGAACAAGACAGAAUAAAACAAGCAUGUAAUAUGAGGAAAUGUGCUGCUUGGUGAGAAAGAAAGUUUGAUCGUUACUGGAGCUGUUCAAGGUGAGUCAAGUUAGCUGACUUCUAGUUGGAAAUACAUUUUAUAAUGGUUUAGAAAAUCCUUUGCCAAUAAUUCCAAGUUGAUAGAAAAAAAAUGACUUUUCUUUUUUGUAAUUGCAUAUUUGCACAAAUUCCAGAAGACCUGAAUUCAUAGGUGAAAAUUUCAUUUUGUUCAUAGUACUAAAAACCAUAUAGAUGAGUGAUUUAAAACAUAAUAUGGGAACAAAAAAGCCAUCCUCUGGUCAGGGCACUGGGUCUGCAUUAAACACAGCAGGGCCCUGGUGAACAUUUAAAGCCCUCAGUGGGAAGUGAUUAUCUUUCUACUCUCUAGGUUUGCCUGAAAUUACCCAGUCUUGUCCAUGCUGAGUCCUGAGUGUUAAGGGAAAUUAAUUGAUGGUUUAAUAAGUGAGAAAUGAAAAGAGAGUUAUAUUCUGCUGUGCUAAAUUUUAAAUAGAGUUUCAUUUUCUUGUAGUGUCCAUUAACUUAUAUUCACCUAGAAUGCGAAUUACUUAGGUUGUAAUUUGAGACCUAAUUAGAGUAAAACAAUUUAUCUUAUUGCUGUUGAGAAUUCUUUACCAGGUACUCUUAGCAGCAUAAAUUUUGAAAAUGGUUAAACUAGGAAAUUCUGGCAACCCAUUUAUUUAUGUCUUAAUGAGAGAAAGGAAAGAGAGAGAGAGAGAGAGGCAGAAAGGGAAAGAGAGAGAGAAGAAAUAACACCACAAAUUUUAACACAUAGAAAGAGAACAGGGGGACACAUAAAAUAUCAAUCAUAAAAGGUCUAUGGAGUUCUUUUUAAAAUGUCUCUUCCUAAGUUUUUCAUGCACAUGCUUAAGAGUCAGCACCAUAAAAGCAAAAGCAUAAUGGAUAGUAAAGUAUGGGACUUGUUUCCCUUUAGUUAUAAAGGGGAUACAUGUUGUAUUUUCCUAUGUCAGAAACUAUUAUUUAAUUAUUUUUUUAAAAAAAUUUAAUGGCCAGAAUUAGAGUUUCUAGAGAAACUCAAAGACAAUAGAAAAGACAAAAACAGGAACACUCAAGGAAAUGUUAGCUUCUAGUAUCUGCAGCUACAGGCAAGUAAUAAAUGUAGCCUAACUCCUAGCCAGAUAAACCUAAAUCCUCACACUUAGGUCUAUUUAACUCAGUUUCUUUCACCCAAUUCAUCCUGUUCAAAUUGCAAAAAAAAAAUUACAACACAUGCUGAAACACAAAAGACACAUACGUUGAAGAGACACAGCGAGCGUCAGAUCCAGAUUCAGAAACAGCAGAGAUUUGGGAACGAUCAGACUGGAAAUGUUAAAUAAAUAUGACUAAUAUGCUAAGAACUCUAAUGGAAAAAGUAGACAAAAUGCAGGAGCAGAUGAAUGAUAUAAACAGAGAAUUAAAAAUUCUAAGAAAGUACAGAAAUGAAAUGCUAAACACUGAAAAUCAAAAGGAGCAAAAGGAAACAAAACAAAACAAAUGGUAACCAAAAACACUGAAAGAGAAAAUAAGAGUUGUUUUGAGGGAGUCAUCAGUAGUCCGGACACAGCUGAUGAAAGAAUCAGUGAGCCUGAAGAUACGAUGAUGGAAACUUCUCAAAUUGAAAGGCGAAGAAAAAAAAAAUGAAAAAAAAAAAAAAAAGGAAUAGAAUAUCCAAGAACUGUGGGAUAAUUACAAAAGAGAAUACACAAAGAAAAAACAGACAAAGAAGCAGAAUAUUUGAGGUAAUAAUGGCUGAGAAUUUCUGAAAUUAAUAACAGAUAUCAAAUCACAGAAACAAGGAGCUCAGAGAACACUGAGAGAGGUAAAUACCAAAAAAUCUACACCUAGGCCUGUCGUUAGAAAAUCAAAGACAAGGGCUGGGUGCGGUGGCUCAUGCCUGUAAUCCCAGCACUUUGGGAGGCCGAUGCGGGUGGAUCAUGAGGUCAGGAGAUGGAGACCAUCCUGGCUAACACGGUGAAACCCCGUCUCUACUAAAAAUACAAAAAAUUAGCCGGGCGUGGUGGCGGGCGCCUGUAGUCCCAACUGCUGGGGAGGCUGAGGCAGGAGAAUGGCGUGAACCCGGAGGCGGAGCUUGCAGUGAGCCGAGAUUGUGCCACUGCACUCCAGCCUGGGUGACAGAGGAAGACUCUGUCUCAAAAAAUAAAAUAAAAUAAAAUAAAAUAAAAUAAAAUAAAAUAAAAUAAAAUAAAAUAAAAUAAUAUAAAAUAAAAUAAAUAAAACAAAAUAAUAUAAUUUAAAAAUUUUUAAAAAUUAAAAAAAUAAAAAAAAAUCAAAGAGCAAAUCUUGAAAGAAGCUGGAGAAAAGGAAAACCAUACCUCUAACGGAAUUUGCCUUCAGAAACCAUACAAUUAAGAAGAAAGCAGAGAGAAAUAUUUAACAGUUGAAAGAAAAAAAAAAGGCCACUAACCUAGAAUUCUUUAUCUAGUGAAAUUAUUCUUUAAAAGUAAAGGGCAAAUACUUUCUUAGUCAAAUAAAAAUUCAGGAAUUUUGUUGCCAGAAAGAAAUGUUUAAAGAUGCUCUUCAGAGAGGAGAAAGUGAUAUGGAUCAGAAACUUGUAUCUGCAUAAAGAAAGGAAUAAUGUUAGGGAAGGAAUAAACAAAGGUAAAAUAAAAUCAUUAAAAAAUGUGUACUGAGUGAUUAUUGCUUCUGGAUAAGUGAAAGGAAUGACAACAAUAUUAUGAGGGAAAGAGGGAUGAAUUGAAGUGCUCUGUUUUAAAGUACCUGCGUCACCCAUAAACUGUUCUUUGAAA
rnacentral:lncRNA from 1 species